CUGUCAGCAGCCGCGGUAAUACGUAGGGGGCGAGCGUUGUCCGGAUUCAUUGGGCGUAAAGAGCUCGUAGGCGGCUUGAUAAGUCGGGUGUGAAACCUCCAGGCUCAACUUGGAGCAGCCACUCGAUACUGUUAUGGCUUGAGUCCGGUAGGGGGCCACGGAAUUCCUGGCGUAGCGGUGAAAUGCGCAGAUAUCAGGAGGAACACCGGUGGCGAAGGCGGUGGCCUGGGCCGGUACUGACGCUGAGGAGCGAAAGCGUGGGGAGCGAACAGGAUUAGAUACCCGUGUAGUCC
rnacentral:rRNA from 1 species